GGACAAACAGAUCCUGGAGCUCCUGCAGGACAGGAUUUCACCAUCAACUCUGAUGCAAUUGUCUGGGCAAAAAAGAAGGUGCCCUUUGCCAGGUGUGGCAAGAAGAGGUGCCAGGCAGGACAGAGGAGAAGAGUUCCAGAGGGCCAGCAGGUUUGCUGCUACCAAUGUUCCCCUUGUCCAGAAGGGACCAUUUCUAAUCAGACAGAUGCAGCUUCCUGUGAUCCCUGUCCAGAAAACCAAUACCCCAACA